UACAGAGGGGGCAAGCGUUGUUCGGAAUUACUGGGCGUAAAGGGCGCGUAGGCGGCCGACUAAGUCAGACGUGAAAUCCCACGGCUCAACCGUGGAACUGCGUCUGAUACUGAUUGGCUUGAGUCCGGGAGAGGGAUGUGGAAUUCCAGGUGUAGCGGUGAAAUGCGUAGAUAUCUGGAGGAACACCGGUGGCGAAGGCGGCAUCCUGGACCGGCACUGACGCUGAUGCGCGAAAGCCAGGGGAGCAAACGGG
rnacentral:rRNA from 1 species